rnacentral:rRNA from 1 species
UGGGGGAUAUUGCACAAUGGGCGAAAGCCUGAUGCAGCGACGCCGCGUGGGGGAUGAAGGCCUUCGGGUUGUAAACUUCUUUUGCUCUGAACAAGGCGCACCAUGGGGUGUGUUGAGUGUAGGGGUUGAUUAGCGCCGGCUAACUACGUGCCAGCAGCCGCGGUAAUACGUAGGGCGCGAGCGUUGUCCGGAAUUAUUGGGCGUAAAGGGCUUGUAGGUGGCUGGUUGCGUCUGUCGUGAAAGCUCAUGACUUAACUGUGGGUUUGCGGUGGGUACGGGCUGGCUUGAGUGCAGUAGGGGAGGCUGGAAUUCCUGGUGUAGCGGUGGAAUGCGCAGAUAUCAGGAGGAAUACCGGUGGCGAAGGCGGGUCUCUGGGCUGUUACUGACACUGAGGAGCGAAAGCAUGGGGAGCGAACAGG